GCGUGAGUGAAGAAGGCCUUAGGGUUGUAAAACUCUUUCAGUGGGGAAGAUAAUGACGGUACCCACAGAAGAAGCUCCGGCUAACUCCGUGCCAGCAGCCGCGGUAAUACGGAGGGAGCUAGCGUUGUUCGGAAUUACUGGGCGUAAAGCGUACGUAGGCGGGCUGGCAAGUUGGGGGUGAAAUCCCGGGGCUUAACUCCGGAACUGCCUCCAAAACUGCCAAUCUAGAGACCGAGAGAGGUAAGCGGAAUUCCUAGUGUAGAGGUGAAAUUCGU
rnacentral:rRNA from 1 species